rnacentral:rRNA from 1 species
UGGGGAAUAUUGCACAAUGGUCGCAAGCCUGAUGCAGCCAUGCCGCGUGUAUGAAGAAGGCCUUCGGGUUGUAAAGUACUUUCAGCGGGGAGGAAGGGAGUAAAGUUAAUACCUUUGCUCAUUGACGUUACCCGCAGAAGAAGCACCGGCUAACUCCGUGCCAGCAGCCGCGGUAAUACGGAGGGUGCAAGCGUUAAUCGGAAUUACUGGGCGUAAAGCGCACGCAGGCGGUUUGUUAAGUCAGAUGUGAAAUCCCCGGGCUCAACCUGGGAACUGCAUCUGAUACUGGCAAGCUUGAGUCUCGUAGAGGGGGGUAGAAUUCCAGGUGUAGCGGUGCAAUGCGUAGAGAUCUGGAGGAAUACCGGUGGCGAAGGCGGCCCCCUGGACGAAGACUGACGCUCAGGUGCGAAAGCGUGGGGAGCAAACAGG